AGUGAACGCUGGCGGUAGGCCUAACACAUGCAAGUCGAACGGCAGCACAGUAAGAGCUUGCUCUUACGGGUGGCGAGUGGCGGACGGGUGAGGAAUACAUCGGAAUCUACUUUUUCGUGGGGGAUAACGUAGGGAAACUUACGCUAAUACCGCAUACGACCUACGGGUGAAAGCAGGGGAUCUUCGGACCUUGCGCGAUUGAAUGAGCCGAUGUCGGAUUAGCUAGUUGGCGGGGUAAAGGCCCACCAAGGCGACGAUCCGUAGCUGGUCUGAGAGGAUGAUCGGCCACACUGGAGCUGAGACACGGUCCAGACUCCUACGGGAGGCAGCAGUGGGGAAUGUUGGACAAUGGGCGCAAGCCUGAUCCAGCCAUACCGCGUGGGUGAAGAAGGCCUUCGGGUUGUAAAGCCCUUUUGUUGGGAAAGAAAAGCAGCAGGUUAAUACCCCGCUGUUCUGACGGUACCCAAAGAAUAAGCACCGGCUAACUUCGUG
rnacentral:rRNA from 1 species